AUGACUCCAUUUCCUCUACCUCUUGCUGGUGGUUCCUUCCAACUUCCUCUCCUUCUACCACCUCAUUUUGUUCUCUUUCAGCCUUUGCCCCAGAAAACAUCACUUGCUGGACUGUCUCCUUCACUGCCACCCCUUCUUUGUCUUCUGCCUCAGCUUCUUGUUCCUCUCUCUUUUCAGCCUCCAACUGUGGGUUCUCUGUUAUCUUGGUUGGCUCCUCCAGCUCUCCACUCUGAAAUCCUUCAGACCUUGUUGCCCCCUCUAGCCUGCUCUGCUGUUCCUCUAGAAACUGCCACUGGUACGGCGCCUCUUGCUGAACCUCCAUAUUUGAUGACAAUCCCUCCUGCUCCUGCCCCACUUCGCUCCCUUCUGGCUCUUCUGCUUUUCCUUCAAGCUCCCACUGAUGGCAUUUUGCAAUCUCAUCUUCCAGGCUGUUCUGUCUUCCCUCGCUCUCUCUCCUGUUCCCCUAAAAACUGUGCCAAGUUUGAGGUCUCUUUCCAAACCUCCUCAUUCCACAAAUUUUCCUUCAGCUCUCUUUCCUGACCCACAUUGGUCCCUCCUUCCUCACUCAGUUCUCCAUGAUGUUUGCCUCCAGCCAAUGGUCCAGCUAGUUCCCACUUUGUAUCUGCCACCUCUGCUUGUACUUCUUUCUCAGGUGCAUCUGCCCAGAUAGUUCUUCCUGCAUCCCAUGGAUGGAUCCCCUGAGUCAGGGCUGACCCCUUCAGGUCUGUCUCUUUGACGUUGCCAGUCACUGUUGUUGUGACCAUUUCUUCUUGGGCAUCAGCUGGGAUCCGGCAUGUCUCUGUGGAGGAGAAACAGGAGGGGAAAAAUGGAAUAGAUCUUGGCACCACCUUGAAUAGACCCAAUCUUGUCUGUUCUUAUAAUUCCCCACAUCUCAGACCCAGGCUGUAAUUAUUACAUUCAGAAAUGCCUGUAGGGAAUUCACAGCAACUACUGUUGCUACACAUGACACAAGCUCUACUGUGGUUUAAAAAUGGUGCCAAUGCACAUCAUUGUAAACUGCAUCAAGGCUUCCAUCAUUGGCUGGCCAGUGCUGGAAAGCCUUCCAGCUACUGACAGAACCAGGGUCACAUCAGCUAGACCUUGCUAACUCAACAUGCAACAGAAAUUGAGUUGCUGGAGCUGUCCUUCAGGCAAGGACAGUGUUGCUGCCUGGUCACUUGCCAGCUGGUGACAAUAUUGGAGAUGGUGGGGACGGAGCUCCACUUUCAGUGCAUGUCAGGCAGGCAAACUGCUCCCCUGACCCCAUGUGCUCUGAGUCGUGGUGGGAAGCCUCCCAGCACAGGCCGGCCAAUGGGCUAGUGGCUGGUCCUCAUCCUGCUUUUCAGAUAACCUGCAUUAAAAAGGGGUACCAGGGAUACUGGGAAUCUCCAGGCAAGGCAAGGAAGAAAUCUAGACUCAAACCCUGAAGGGCUACUGCCAGUCAGAGUUGACAAUAUUAGACUAGAUGGACGAAUGGUUUGAUUCAGAAUAAUACUGCUUUAAUGUUCCCAUGUUUUCCACAUUUUAGCAUCCUAUAGAAUUUACUCACAUGCUUCCCUACAGAUUUUCUGUGCUCCUCCUCAUGAAACAACCCACCUAUUUAUUGGUAAAUAUUUGACACUGUCAUUCCUUUGAAAGUUCAAGAUCUCUAAAAAAUUCAAAUUAACUAUGUAAAACUCAGAUAAAAUGCAAGUAUAAAAAAGGGGAGUACAAAAAAAGCUGCCAUAACACAGUAGCAGGCAAACAGAAGGACUAUUUAAAGUUCUAACAUCAUUAUAGAUUUUUUUCCCCAAAAAGCUACAAGAAGACAUUAGCACACAUUUACAAGUAGGCACAAGCAGAUAAAUCCAGAGGUAUAAAUAUAUGUGUCUCAUGCUUACCCACGAACCUUUAGUCACAAUUACAAUGGGCCAAACAUCAUCUAGUCCCAACUUCAAAACCUUCUCAAGUGGCAGAAACUACCGCAGAAAUAUAGGGAGAAACUAAGAUGGAGGUGACUUUUUUUAUAUGCAGAGUGCCUGACAUUCACAACUGCAUAAUCACAGUCACUUGCAACACAUUUCAGGACAGAGAUAGAGUAAGUAUGGGGGACCUCUGGUCCAUGGCUGAAAACCACUCCACCAGCCUUCUCAAUCCAGCAUACAGUGUCUUCUUCUCCUCUGCAAAACCCCUGAUCCCUUGCAGAAAGGAGAAGACCCAGGACAGCUGUUCUCACCUGAGCUGCCACCUCAAGGAGCAUUCUUGGGAUAAUGGUUAGUUGGUGUCACUCCCUCAUAGCAUUUGCCCAUGGCAAAGGAACUGGAGUUGGUGGGAAGCAAAUCCCAACUGAAACGUCCAUUAAAAACAACUAAGUAGCAACCAGAUCCCCUUAAUCAUCACCAUCCCCCACAGUGUUUUGUAAGUACAUUCUAUAACCUUCCAUCACCUGAGGGCUUCUCCUUUGACUCUUCCCAUCCCUCAUAUCUGGAGGACAAUUUGGCAAGUUCAAGAAUGGACUCGGUAGAUUGAGUUCCAUGGACAGCUGCUUCUGGUGUUACUUGGAUCUCCAAGUCAGGUGGGAUCUCCUGAAAAGGAAAAGCCUUAAUAAAAGAGAGAUGGCACACA
rnacentral:lncRNA from 1 species